rnacentral:rRNA from 1 species
CCGGUUAGGUGUUGAGCGUGCGACGUAGGUUAGGACCGGGUUAGGGUGCGGGACGGGGAAAGGGCAGGUUAGAGGUCAGCGGUGUGGGAAGGAGGAGGGCGUGCUUGGGAUCGUUUGCGGUCGGCGGUGGGAGUGAGGAGGGUCGGCGGAGGUGCGAGAGAGGGAGGAGGAGGUAGGAAGGCGUAGAGUAGGUAUAGUGGCCUAGGUUCCGCACCCUCGUGCCUCCGCUCGAAGAUGCCACCGCUGUCCUCUGACGUCCGUUUCCCGCUGGGGUACCUAGGCACAGAUCGGGAGGAUUAUGGCCAAGGGUACCUAGGCUCCGAACGCCCGUGCCUCCGCUUGACGGGGCCGCCGCCGCCGUUGACGUCCGUUCCCCGUUACCACCGCCACGAACUAGACUAGACGUCCUCUCCCUCUUCUACUAUCCCUCUCUCUCUACCUUCCUCUCCUCCUUAUUUCGCUCUCCUUCUCUUCUCCCUCCACGCCGCAGCCGGCCCGCUCCCAGUGGCCGGCCACGACCGCUCCAGCUCGCGCUGGACCGCCAACCACCACCGUUUUUGCCGUAUCUUCAGGUGGUGACACUCGACGAGCUUGGCAUACGCGGGCGGCCGAAGGAAAGGGGAACACCACCGGGGAGGGAUGCACUAGAGGAAGGAAGUUAGAGAACACAACGAAGAGAAGGACAAGGAGGGGCAGGUACGGAAUUAGGUUUUUAUAGUUAAACAACUACGAAGUAUGUACACACGUUAAGGAAUUAAUAUUCAGGGUCAAAUACGUUGAAACUCUUACUUCUGUUACUGCCCCUCCUCCCGAACGGAAAAGGAGCCUCUCCUCCAGCUGGCAACCUCCAAAACACUCCCUUACUUCGUUUUGUCGUCCUUCCUUUAUCUCUCCCAUCACACAGUAGUACGUGUCUCAGACGGAAGGUAACCGCACACGUGUUGUUCCUGGUACGUAACCUUGUAGUUUAAGUUGGCCGAAUGUUCAACUUCUCUUCCAAUGCAUACGAAAAACACUCGUCAUGACUCAUUAGAUUACUAGACGAGGUACGUUAGAUUCUUUUUAUUUACACGUUCGGUAAAGACUAUCUUCCAGACCCAUAGUUAAUAAAAACAAACACAGAUGUUCGAAAACUGAAACAACGGACCAGAUGACAAAUAAACGUUAUAACCUAUGAGAACGGUAAAGAACACUUAUGAAAAAAACAAACAGCAUGAGAGUUAUAUGACGUAUAAUUGAGAUAUAACGUCUUAAACACUUAUAAGUCAUGAAGUGGCGCCAUUAGAUGUCCUUCCGUUCCUAUUGAUAUAAUUUGUAAAGUACUCUAGGAAGGUUAAUAACCGUGUUUGAGGAAAAGUUCUAUAAUGCUCACACCAACUGAUGGCCUCUAAUAGUCUACCUUUAUUGUAUGUAGGAAGUAGAAAUAAAUCUCCAAAUUAAUCUACGUGUUCGCAUAUACUAAGACACGGUAUAGGGAAAAGAUAGGUCGACGACGUAAGAAAAAAAAGUAUACACAACAGUACCAGUAAUCAAAUAUAACACAAUUAUAAGUACUAUACCGGGUCUCUACAAAAGGAAAAAACGAGCACGAACGACGAACGUACUAACUUGUAGACCACAAACCAGACUAGUUGGUAAACACACGUCAUCAUAAGCAAAAUAGGAACUAGUACACGCACACAUGUAGAUUACUUCAUCAAAAUUAACUAUAUUUUCAAAAGUAAAUAACGUCGUUAAACUAAAAUUGGUCGGUACCAGAUGUUCCUUGUUAUCCUCAUCUGAUAUUAAAAGGUAGACCUUUCACAAAAGAUACGUCUUAACCAAUCGUAAUAUAGAUCUAUGUUGCUAAUGAUAAGUUAUCUAUUAAAUGUACAACGUCGUUUGAAUACAAAGAACUUGAUAUAUCUGACUACCACUACUAUAUAUGAAUAUACGGGUAAUAGCGAUAUAUCGAUAACAAGAGAUGGUUACCAUACAAACGUUGACGUUGGGUAUAAGGUUACUGGCGGUGUCGGCUCUUCUGUACAUAGACAUCCUUCUUAGUGGUGCUGCCUGACGUAGACGGAUCUGCUAACAACGUUGCCGGUACUACUUCACGUAGAGAGUUAAGGCCCUAGUCGUACGACCUACUUAGGAGGAACGGACAAUUCAACGUUGCCACGUUGGUUUGUGGUACCUCCGAAGACAUAAUCCCUGCCACUUAGACGUAGCUGUCACUACCUACCUUUAACGAGCGGGAGGAAGGAGGUAUUUGGUGCCCCUGGAACAUAUCAACAUAAUCGGAGGGGUAGAUAGGCAGUCCUUCGGGCCUGAAAGGGACGAUAACGACAGCUUUUGCGAUGGUAACAUCUUGUACUUGACUUGAAUUCACACCGUGUACCUCGAAGUCCAUUGUUUAGAUUUUCUUGGUUUUAAUUACAUACUGUACAGAAAACAGUGUUGCGGAGAGAGAAUAAAACAUACUGGAUGACGUACAAGUUACCUCACAUGGUUGAUGGUUCACGAUCUUCGUAGUGAUAUCUAAUUAAUACAUGGUCUAGUGAAACGAAGUCGGAAAAUCCUCGUAAAAAGAUAUAAUGUAUGUACAAGCACGUUGUGACGGUUUAUGUAUAUCGGCCCUUUACGCCUACUUACCCCAACCCAAAUUAUGUGAGUAUUUCUUUCGUUCACAAGGAGACAAAAAUUCAGUUAACGAAAAGUGACUGGUAUUAGUAUAAGUUAAGUCAAUGAACAUCUACUUCCACGAAUGACUAAGUGAGAAAUACGUUGUGAGUAGAAAAUAUGGACUUACACUUCUAUUGAACUUCGGAGUUUACCCCUACUGUAAACUUCCUGACUUCCGACGCCUCCUCAAGAUGUUCAGAAUAAGUGUGGUGAGACCAAAACCUCAAGCAUAACCUGUUGUUUUCUUCAAUCUUUUACUCCAGUAAGUGUUAUUUUCGAUGACAUGUACAAACCAUUACUAUGGAUGCUCUAUCAUAGUACCCAGCUCGUGGUCAGUAACGGAACACAGUGGUCUAUUCGCAGUAAAUUAGUUUAGUUUAGCAACUCAAUCACUCUCCUGUUUCUUGUGUAACAUGUAUACUUCGUUUCGUUCGUCUCGAGUAAUUAUGUUAAAAUAAUCAAAAUGACUUACAACUUAAGAUACAUUACCUACUCUUCAACACAAAUAAGAGGUUAAUAAACAGGAUAAAGAUAGUGUAAACUACACAGACAUUAAUGAAGGCUCACCAUACAUCUACGACACUUAAGGUCAACAAAUACUUCCAACCCUUAAAGAAGAACAAAUACUUACUCUUAAACCUACGUGUCCGUGGUCCAAAGUUUCCUC